rnacentral:tRNA from 1 species
GCACUCAUAGCUCAGCUGGAUAGAGUACUCGGCUACGAACCGAGCGGUCGGAGGUACUCGGCUACGAACCGAGCGGUCGGAGGUUCGAAUCCUCCUGAGUGCGCCA